UGCUAUUGCUUCAUCCAAUUUGAAGGAGGCCGAAGAACCUACCUCGGUCAUUGAAGAGAGAGCUAUACAUAGUGAUGAUGCCGAAAAACUCAAUAAGGUGGUUGUUGAACAACCGUCGGAAUCUUUGUUGGCUGAAACAGGUAGUAAGAAAUUUACUUCCGAAGGAGAUGCAGUUGUGGAUGCUAUUGAAGUCAAUGUCUCAGGGCCAGGGGUUGCUGUUGUUGGAGAUGUGGACGAGAGCAAGGAAGUGGAAGAACAUAUUGAAGGUACCAAUGAUGAAAAUGUGACAUCAGUAAAUGAUGUUGGUGAGACCAGACAACUUAUUGAAGAAGUGGCUAAAAUGACAGUUGAUGAAGUAGAUGCACAGAACCCUAAGCCUGUGGUGGAAGAACAUAUUGAAG
rnacentral:misc_RNA from 1 species